rnacentral:rRNA from 1 species
UACAGAGGGUGCAAGCGUUGUUCGGAAUCAUUGGGCGUAAAGCGCACGUAGGCGGCUUUGCAAGUCAGGUGUGAAAGCCUGGGGCUCAACCCCAGAAGUGCAUUUGAAACUGCAGAGCUUGAGUCUUUGGAGAGGGCAGUGGAAUUCCGAGUGUAGAGGUGAAAUUCGUAGAUAUUCGGAGGAACACCAGUGGCGAAGGCGACUGCCUGGACAAAGACUGACGCUGAGGUGCGAAAGCGUGGGGAGCAAACAGG